rnacentral:misc_RNA from 1 species
AGUCAAUAUUGAUGCAGUACAUGUAUGUGUAACAUUGUUUCGUUGUACACUCGACUCAUCUAAAUGAUCUAUAUGGUCGGCUCAAUGUACACAUUACGCUACCAAAUCAUGGGAAUUAUUUCUGGACCAUUUCUCCUUAGAUCAUGAAAAUGAAAUUAUUUUUUUUCCAUAUACAUUUUACAUCAUGUCUCUGAGUGCAAUGAGAGAUUUAAGUUAAAAGAGAAAGAUAUUCUUUUAUGAAUUGCUUAUGAAGAUAAAAUAAAGAUAACUUUUAAAUAUGGACAUUGAUUUAGAUUUGAGAGAAAAAUGCUCUUAUGUAUCUUGUGUGCUCUUAUUUAUAUAAAACAAAGAAAGGUUUUUGGGAUAUAUUAGUAUACAAAAUAAAUGUGCAUUAUAUUUAUAAUGUUGAAAUCGCCAAGUGCUUUUUUAUGUUCAUUCUGUCUGUUUUGUUUUUGAUGAAGAUGAAACUGUCUACCAUUUCUCCACUUUGUGGAAUAUAGAUUGUUCAGUUUGUGGAUAAAUGAAAUAAAACUUGAAAACUUG